rnacentral:miRNA from 1 species
AAAACAUAUAAUGGUUUUGUUUGUGGAAACACCACGUAAAUGUAUUACUGCAGUGAUAAAUUUACGUGGUGUUUCCACAAACAAAACCAUUAUAUAAUUUUUAAUUCCUG